rnacentral:rRNA from 1 species
AUGUCCAUGGCGUCGGGCGGCGGCGGCGCCGGGCCGUCUCGGCCGCAGCGGCAGCUGUCGAUGGGGCCGCGGAACCUGUCGCGGGCGAUCACCAUGCGGACGGAGGGCUUCUCCGGCGAGGAGGAGGAGAGCGAGCUGGUGCCGUCCUCCCUGGCGCCCAUCGUCCCCAUCCUCCGCGCCGCCAACGCCAUCGAGGACGAGAACCCGCGCGUCGCAUACCUCUGCCGGUUCACCGCAUUCGAGAAGGUGCACAAGAUGGAUCCGAACUCGAGCGGGCGCGGAGUUCGGCAGUUCAAAACCUAUCUGCUGCACAGGCUGGAAAAGGAUGAAAAGGACACACACCGCAAGCUUGCGUCGACUGAUGCAAGAGAGAUUCAGAGGUUCUAUCAGCAGUAUUGUCAGAAAUAUCUGGAGGGUUUUCAAGACAGAAAGCCGGACGAGAUGGGUCAAUACUAUCAGACUGCAUCAGUCCUAUACGACGUGCUAAAAACGGUGUCACCUCCAUCUGGGCCUGAUGCCAAUUUUGAUGAGUACGCGGAAGGGGUUGAAAAGAAGAAAGCUUCCUUUUCACAUUACAACAUAUUACCCCUUAAUAUUACUUCCGGUCCCACACAACCUGUAAUGGAAAUACCUGAGAUAAAAGCAGCAGUGGAGCUUCUUCGCUGGACACAGAAUCUUCCAAUGCCAAGGCCAGAUCCGACUAGUGUGCCUCAAGAGAUAGAAGGGCCUGUUGUUAAUGACUUGCUUGAUUGGCUCUGGCAAACAUUUGGAUUUCAGAAAGGUAACGUGGAGAAUCAAAAGGAACAUUUGAUUUUGCUGCUUGCUAACAUGGAUAUGAGAGGAAUUGAUAGUGCCCACCAGGGUGAAAGACAAAUUCACAUGAUACAUCGCAAUACAAUUGAUCGCUUGAUGAAGAAAGUUUUUCAAAAUUACAUUUCAUGGUGCCGAUAUCUGCAUUUGGAGUCAAACAUCAAAAUUCCACGUGAUGAGUCCACACAACAACCAGAACUUCUUUACAUAGGGUUGUAUUUGCUGAUUUGGGGUGAAGCUUCUAAUGUUCGCUUUAUGCCUGAAUGCCUUUGUUAUAUCUUCCACCAUAUGGCAAGGGAUUUAUAUGACAUAAUAUCUGAUAGAAGAGAAGGAUUUUUUGAACCACCCUUCCAACGAGAGGGGAGUGAUGAUGCAUUUCUACAGCUGGUUAUCCAACCCAUCUACAAUGUUAUUUACAAUGAAGCUGUAAUGGGUAAGCAUGGUACUGUCAGCCACUCAAAGUGGAGAAACUAUGAUGACCUGAAUGAAUUUUUUUGGUCAAAGAAAUGCUUCAAACAGCUUGGGUGGCCAAUGAAUCAAGCCUCUGACUUUUUCACGAGUCCUGCGAAAACUAAUAAUAAUAUCAAGCAACGUGGUCAUUCGAUCAGCAGGAGGAGGAUGUCCAAAACAAAUUUUGUUGAAGUUCGUACAUUUUUGCAUCUCUUCAGAAGUUUUGAUCGGAUGUGGGCUUUUUUCAUAUUAGCUUUCCAGGCCAUGGUAAUUAUUGCAUGGAGCCCUUCUGGGUCACUUUCUGCUAUAUUCGAACCAACUGUUUUCAGAGAUGUUAUGACAAUAUUCAUAACAGCUGCAUUUCUAAACUUCCUUCAAGCAACACUUGAGAUAGUUCUUAACUGGAAGGCUUGGAGGAGCCUAGUUUGCUCGCAGAUGAUACGGCAUGUUCUGAAAUUUGUUGUAGCGAUUGGCUGGUUGAUAAUUCUUCCAGUGACGUACACAAGUUCUAUUCAAAAUCCCACAGGCCUUAUCAAGUUCUUCAGCAACUGGAUUGGCAAUUUCCAGAGUCAAUCAAUUUAUAAUGUUGCAGUUGCUCUUUACAUGUUGCCGAACAUUUUCAGUGCCUUGUUUUUCAUAUUUCUACCAAUUCGAAGGAAACUGGAGCGUUCAAAUGCUCACAUUGUUAGAUUUCUUUUGUGGUGGACGCAGCCAAAAUUAUAUGUUGCCCGAGGCAUGUAUGAGGACACAUGUUCACUUCUUAAGUACACAACAUUCUGGAUUCUAUUGCUUAUAUGCAAGCUCGCCUUCAGUUAUUAUGUUGAGAUUUCUCCUCUAGUUGGACCUACCAAGACAAUUAUGUUUUUGGGACGGGGGAGAUACAUCUGGCACGAGUUCUUUCCAUACUUGCAGCAUAAUUUAGGUGUUGUUUUUACUAUAUGGGCACCAGUUGUCAUGGUAUACUUCAUGGAUACGCAAAUAUGGUAUGCUAUUUUUUCCACAGUAUGUGGCGGAGUAAAUGGUGCCUUCAGCCGCUUGGGAGAGAUCCGAACCCUUGGGAUGUUAAGAUCAAGAUUCGAGGCAAUCCCAAAAGCUUUUGGUAAAAAUCUUGUGCCUACACAUCGUGGUGAACCAAAGAGACAUGAGCAGGAUAACCGGACUUCACUUAUGGAAAAGAAGUUCUCUUACAUAUGGAAUGCAUUCAUCAGCUCUUUGCGAGAGGAAGACUUAAUAAGCAAUAGCGAGAGAGAUUUAUUGGUUGUUCCAUCAUCUGUGGGUGGCACUAGCGUUACUCAGUGGCCUCCUUUCCUUCUCGCUAGCAAGAUUCCAAUGGCACUUGAUAUCGCAAAGAGUGUCAAGAAAAGGGAUGAAGAACUACUAAGGAGGAUAAAACAGGAUCCAUACACCUAUUAUGCCGUAAUAGAGUGUUACGAGACAUUGUUAGAUAUUCUGUACAGCCUUAUAGCAGAAACAAGUGAUAUGAAAGUUGUUGAUCAAAUACGUGAGAGUCUUCAAGAGAGCAUAUGUAACCAGUCACUUGUGAGAGAUUUCCGAUUGGAUGAACUUCAUCUGCUAAGCGAUAAAUUCAAUAAGCUGCUAAGUCUACUAUUGGAAAUUGAGCAAGAGGGGAAUGACACAGCAAAAAUGACACAGAUUGCCAAUCUAUUACAAGAUACAAUGGAAAUCAUCACACAAGAUAUCAUGAAGAACGGACAAGGUAUUUUGAAGGAUGAGAACAGAGAGAGUCAACUGUUUGCAAAUAUAAAUCUGGAAUCAAUAAAGGAUGAAGCUUGGAGGGAAAAGUGUGUUAGGCUUCGAUUGUUGCUGACAACUAAAGAAUCUGCAAUUUAUGUACCAAUAAACUUGGAAGCUCGGCGCAGGAUGACAUUCUUUGCAAACUCACUAUUUAUGAAGAUGCCAAGGGCUCCACAGGUCAGCAGCAUGAUGUCCUUCAGUGUUCUAACUCCAUACUUCAAAGAGGAGGUGCUCUUUUCAGCAGAAGAUCUUCAUAAAAAAAAUGAGGAUGGGAUAUCCAUCCUUUUCUAUUUACAGAAAAUAUAUCCAGAUGAAUGGAAGAAUUUUUUUGAGCGCAUAAAACCUAAGGAUGAGGAGUCCCGUAAAUCAAUGAUGGAUGAGAUCUCACGCUGGGCAUCUUAUAGGGGACAAACCGCCAGAACUGGCAAAGUCACUAACUCUACUGAGCGUGUAAAACUAGACCCAAAGGAUGAGUUCCUUAAAGCAAGGAUGGAAGAUAUCUCACUCUGGGCAUCUUAUAGGGGACAAACACUCACCAGAACUGUGAGAGGAAUGAUGUACUACAGGAGGGCGCUUGAGAUUCAAUGUAUUCAAGAUAAAAAUGCUAAACUGGAUCACCAGAGAACAAAUUCAUCCUAUCAAGAUGGUGAGUCCGUUGCAGAUAUGGACUUGGCCAUUGCUGAUAUCAAAUUCACCUAUGUUGUCUCUUGUCAAGUCUAUGGCAUGCAAAAAGUAUCCAAGGAUGCCAAAGAGAAAGCUCGCUAUCUGAACAUCCUUAACCUCAUGAUGAUGUACCCGUCAUUGCGGAUUGCUUAUAUUGACGAGGUAGAAGCUCCGAAUAAAGAUGGAAUGACAGAGAAGACUUAUUAUUCUGUUCUUGUCAAAGGAGUGGGUGACAAGUAUGAUGAGGAAAUUUACCGCAUCAAGCUUCCUGGCAAACCCACAAAUAUUGGAGAGGGAAAACCUGAAAAUCAAAAUCAUGCCAUAAUAUUCACCAGGGGAGAAGCACUCCAGGUCAUUGAUAUGAAUCAGGAUAAUUACCUCGAAGAGGCAUUUAAAAUGAGAAAUGUGCUGGAGGAGUUUGAGAGUACCAAAUAUGGAAAGAGCAAACCCACUAUAUUAGGUCUCCGGGAGCAUAUUUUUACUGGAAGUGUUUCAUCACUUGCUUGGUUUAUGUCAAAUCAAGAGACCAGCUUUGUUACGAUUGGACAGCGAGUUCUGGCAAAUCCUCUCAAGGUUCGGUUCCAUUAUGGCCAUCCUGAUAUUUUUGAUAGACUCUUCCAUAUUACUAGGGGUGGCAUAAGUAAAGCUUCCAAGACUAUAAAUUUAAGUGAAGAUAUAUUUUCAGGUUUUAAUUCAACAAUGAGAGGAGGAAAUAUCACACAUCAUGAGUACAUGCAAGUUGGUAAAGGACGUGAUGUGGGAAUGAAUCAAAUUUCAAGCUUUGAAGCUAAGGUUGCCAAUGGCAAUGGUGAACAAACAUUGAGUCGUGACAUCUAUCGUCUUGGACGCAGAUUUGACUUCUACAGAAUGCUAUCUUUCUACUUCACUACAGUUGGCUUUUAUUUCAGUAGCAUGGUUACUGUACUUACAGUCUAUGUAUUUUUGUAUGGGAGGUUAUAUCUCGUCUUGAGUGGUCUGGAAAAGUCUAUUUUGCUGGAUCCACGUAUUCAGGAGAAUAUCGAGCCUCUUCAAAAUGUGCUCGCUUCACAGUCAGUUUUCCAGCUUGGUUUGCUGCUUGUCCUCCCAAUGGUCAUGGAAGUGGGCUUAGAGAAGGGAUUUCGCACAGCAUUAGGAGAGUUCAUCAUCAUGCAGCUUCAGUUGGCCUCUGUGUUCUUCACAUUCCAGCUUGGCACCAAAACACACUACUACGGGCGGACAAUUCUCCAUGGUGGCGCCAAAUACAUACCUACAGGACGUGGGUUUGUUGUGUACCACGCAAAGUUUGCUGAAAAUUAUCGCAUGUACUCCCGAAGCCACUUUGUUAAAGGACUUGAGCUGUUAAUACUUCUGGUUGUAUAUCUAGCCUAUGGAAGGUCGUACCGCACCAGCUCGAGCUUGUACCUAUUUGUCACCUUCUCCAUAUGGUUCAUGGUGGCAUCUUGGCUGUUUGCACCAUUUAUCUUCAAUCCAUCAUGCUUUGAGUGGCAGAAGACGGUUGAUGACUGGACAGAUUGGAGGAAGUGGAUGGGUAACCGUGGGGGUAUCGGUAUGUCUGGGGAACAAAGCUGGGAGGCUUGGUGGAGAAGUGAGCAGGCGCACCUCAGGAAAACCAGCGUUCGUGCUCUCAUCUUGGAAAUCCUCAUGUCUCUUCGUUUCUUGAUCUACCAGUAUGGUAUUGUGUAUCAUCUCAAAAUUGCACGCCACAGCACAAGCAUUCUGGUGUAUGGGUUGUCAUGGCUGGUUAUGCUGACGGUUCUAGUAGUAUUGAAGAUGGUUUCAAUAGGACGGCAGAAAUUUGGAACAGAUCUUCAGCUUAUGUUCCGCAUCCUCAAGGGCAUUCUCUUUCUUGGCUUUGUCACUGUGAUGGCGGUCCUAUUUGCUAUAGGCGGCCUAACAAUUACGGAUGUAUUGGCUUGUACUCUAGGGUUCCUACCAACUGGUUGGUGUAUUCUUCUGAUUGGGCAAGCAUGCGCUCCAAUGAUCGAGAGGACUAUGCUGUGGGACUCCAUCCAGGAGCUAGGGAGGGCAUAUGACAACAUCAUGGGUCUCAUCCUCUUCCUUCCCAUCGGCUUCUUGUCAUGGUUUCCCUUUGUCUCAGAGUUCCAGACACGGUUGCUCUUCAACCAGGCCUUCAGCCGGGGCCUCCAGAUCUCAAGGAUCCUUGCCGGACAGAAGGACAUUGGGGAGUUCGAAUGA